UGUUAAAUAAUUGUUUAUGAUUAGUAUUAUUUAUUAUAAGAUUGCUUAAAUAGAAUAUGAUUAUUCAUAUGGCAGAAAUUCUUUAUAAAUAUACAAAUAUAUGUAAAUAUUUAUAUCUGAAUUAAGUUAAGGAAUGAGCAAUGGCCAAUCGGAGCGUUGCAUUGUCAGCUCCGCCCCUUUUCCUACGGAUCGCGUUGCACAGUUCAGAUGAGAGACGGGGAGCAACGGAGAAAGUUGAUCAGACGUGUGUGUGUUAAAUGGUGAAAAAUACGAUUCCUAAUAAUGUUUAAGGUUCACAUAAACUGGACAAAUUAGAGCUCAACCUCAAGAUAUUAGACGAUUCAGCAUGAUUGUUGAUUUUGACUCGUGGAUUAUAUCAGACCGCAUGGUGUAUUGAGUGUUCACUGCCGUUCGCUGACGCCAUUUUGUGCGUGCCUGUGAAAGAGAAAAGAGAGAAAGACGUGAAUGGACAGGCCAGGUUUUUUUUCUGUGUGAACAAUUUCCAAGUUGGAUUUCCCUAAUCGAUGGCGAGCCUCCCACUUCGACCCUGAAAGGAUCAUGAACCUAGAGGAAAGGACAAUUUUUCCAUUCCGUUGUUUUUCUUCAGACACGUAAGAGAGAACACAUUCCCAGAGACUGGUUCUUUGUAUUUUUUUUUAUGGGACUGAAACAUUUCAGUAGCACAAUUGAGAAACUUUAAAACUGAUCAAUCUUUCAAUUGAUAAAAACUUUGAAACUAGACACUGAUUUCAGUGUGGGUUAUAUGUGAUAUCACUGAGAUUUGGUUUCAUUUGUAUUCACAUUGAUUGUGAUUGUGAUUACUGUAAAUUAAAAGUAAUUUAGAGGGUGCACCCAGGGUAUAUAUAUAGUUUGUUGUAUAUUUUCUCUUUUUGUUUGUUGUUCUGUGAAUUGAAGAGGAAAAAAAAAAAAGGAAAUACUGAAAGGAAAAGAAAUAACUGAAUAUUCAAAGUAAAGUUAUUUUUGAUUCAACUUACCUUUUGUCUCUGCGUUUUGCUCAGUAUCACCGC